CGGGAAGUAGCUCAGCUUGGUAGAGCACUUGGUUUGGGACCAAGGGGUCGCAGGUUCGAAUCCUGUCUUCCCGAUCA
rnacentral:tRNA from 11 species